UAAUGUUAAAGGGAUGAGUUGAAGUCUGAUCGAUUCCCGAUUGAGGCAGUGCCUUAUUUCAUAUUAUCUACCCUUGAUUAUUCUAGACUCUAUAAAUUUUAUUUCAGCUUCCUUAAUUUAGAUUUUGGCUAGUUGUUGAACUAUGGACUCCCCGCUUUUAAGUUUUAAACUUGUAUUGGCAACAAUUACUUUCAUAUUCAGUACUUGUACCAUCAUGAAUGUCAACAUUCAAUUCUGGUAAAAUUUUUCAGGAGCUUCUUAAUGAACUUGAUCAUCUACCAGGUUUACUUUGGUGGCAGAUGGACAUGGUGACCCUGAGCUGUACUUCUCCCGUUUGGAAACUUUAUGGUUUGAGAUUAAUGAGAGGACAGACCUCGCACAGAGAAGAAGGAAUCAUGGACAAUUGAUGACUGUCAGACAGUUCUCAGUGGAAGUUGCUGUACCCAUAGUUCACUCUCUGAAGAGUGAAAUUACAGACGCCUUUCAUUGUAUCCCAGUGCUGAGUGCAUUCUCCAUCUUUGAUCUGACCAAAGUUCCAUCUGAUGUUGCAGACCUAAUAAACUAUGGUCAAACACAGAGCUCAGUCUCUGCCAGCACAGGAAGAAACACCAGACAUUGGAAAGUCCACCUAUCUGCUACAGCAAAUGCUUAGCCAUCCAGAAAUGACCAGGACAUUUCCAUGCAUGACCUACUUAAUACUGCUGUCCUGUCUAAUACCAUCAUCUACAGCCUGUGUAGAGAGAGUUUUCUCUCUUAUGAAUUCUCUUUGUACACCACAGAGGAGUUCCAUGAAACAACAAACUCUGGACAACAUUAUGAGGAUAGUGCAUGAGGGGUCUACAUGUUUGUCCCCUGAACUACUUGAGAAAGCUCUUAACUUUUUUAAGACAGAACACUGAAUUUUUAACCCAAACCCUGCAAAGUUUGUAUUUGGACAGUUUAAAAGGUUAGGUGCUUAAUAAAAUUGAAAAGAUACUGACUGAAUGGCGAUCAGUGCAGUGACUGCAUGCAUGUGCAGGCUGGUCAAGAUCUACACUGGUCGCAAAGGCAGCAUGGUAAUAGUUAGUACUAUAAACAUUGUACAUUCAUGUCAUGAUGAACAUUGCAUUACCAUGUGCUAGAAUCACAUCAUAUUUUUCAGAAUGUCAAAGCUUUUAAAUAGUGAACAUGCCAAAGUUUCAGGAUAACAUCAGUGUGGCACAUAUGCUUUGUUUGAACUUUUAGUUUACAUUUAAUUCCACUGAACCUGUGGAAGGUUGUGUAACAAUAGGAAUUUAGUUAUAAUUAUGUUUUCCACCAGUGGUAAGGGGAGAAGUUAUACAUUCAUAAAGUU